rnacentral:misc_RNA from 1 species
CUACAACAUAAAAAAGUAUAAACUAUUCUUUAUUUAUUAUAAAAUUGUAAUAUAUCAAAAUUUAUCUUUUAUUGAUAAAAUAUUAAAUUAAUAAUUGUAAUAAAUGCAUUAUCAUUAUUUUUAAAGAUAUUAUCAUUUUAUAAUACAUAAUUAAUAUUUAUUUAAUAGUAUAUUAGUUAAACCUCGGUUGAACCCCAAACCCUUAUCUCUUUGUCCUCCACGGUUCACCGACCAGGCCAGGUUUAAAAACAACGGUAAUAACUAUAUGAAAUGGACAAGGCUACGAGAUCCUACCUG